rnacentral:rRNA from 1 species
GAUGAACGCUGGCGGCGUGCUUAACACAUGCAAGUCGAACGGAGGACCCUUGACGGAGUUUUCGGACAACAGAUAGGAAUCCUUAGUGGCGGACGGGUGAGUAACGCGUGAGGAACCUGCCUUGGAGAGGGGAAUAACACAGAGAAAUUUGUGCUAAUACCGCAUGAUGCAGUUGGGUCGCAUGGCUCUGACUGCCAAAGAUUUAUCGCUCUGAGAUGGCCUCGCGUCUGAUUAGCUAGUUGGUAGGGUAACGGCCUACCAAGGCGACGAUCAGUAGCCGGACUGAGAGGUUGACCGGCCACAUUGGGACUGAGACACGGCCCAGACUCCUACGGGAGGCAGCAGUGGGGAAUAUUGGGCAAUGGGCGCAAGCCUGACCCAGCAACGCCGCGUGAAGGAAGAAGGCUUUCGGGUUGUAAACUUCUUUUAUGAGGGACGAAGGAAGUGACGGUACCUCAUGAAUAAGCUCCGGCUA